rnacentral:lncRNA from 1 species
CCUGUUAGGAGACACUCUGAAUGAGAUCCUUAGCAAAAUGCUGUGUCAGUGCAUGACUAGUGAAUCCAGCUGCUUUUUAUGUUUUGCCACUCCAAGUUUUCACACUGUUCCCUGGCUUCAGUCAGACAUCCUAUUUCUUCAUUUUCACUAAAAAUGCCUGACCUUCCCAUGUAAUAGCCUAGAUUUGCCUAUUGCAUAAUGCCUAUGGCAUUUCUGGCCCCAGAAAAUAACCAUUCAGAUUAAGUUAGUAUACUAGUCCUUUUGCAACAAAGUGGGCAUAGGAUGGAGAGCUGUUGGCCAAAGUAGUGUGUUUUCCUUCCUGGAUUUUGAAAAUUGAGAAUAUCUUGUAUGGAAAUGCAUGUGGAGCCAAAAUAUUGCUGUUUGCACAAUGUGUAGUGGUUAUUUAGAUACCUGAAGGGAAGUAACCUUAUGAAUAAACUGUGCUGACUGUCUACGUGCCAGUCCCCCUGGACCUGCUGUGUCGUGAUCUCAUUAAAGUAUCAUUUAGCUUUCAUUAAGGCAGAAAGGAAAUACAGGAGUGGCUGUCAAUCUAAGUCUGUUUUGCAAUUCCGGGGCCAAAUCCUUUUCACCUCACUGGAACAAGUUAUUCCACUGAAACCAAUGAAGUACUUCUGUUAAAAUUUGCUCUUGAUCAGUGUGGAAUGACCUGAUACUGCUACUAAGCUAAUUGAGCUUCUCUCUACUGAACCUCAGCAAAGUUCAACAGAUGUGAAGCUGUCUUCUUGUAGAGUGGUAAAUACACCCUCCUUUCUCACUGCAGAACUCCUCAGGCCUCAGGAAUUCACUCUGGUACACAGCCUGACACCCAAGCCCUGCUGGCAUCCAGCUGAGGUGUCGAGUGGGAAUCACAAUGGUGGCAGAAUACGGUUUGGAUGACAGAAGGAGGUCUGGGCAUAUGAGAGUGGAAGUGAACGGAAGUGGAAUCUGUCACCUUAUGGGGAGACAUGUGAGGUGGG